rnacentral:misc_RNA from 1 species
GGAACCCUUCAUUAAUCAUCAAAUCACAAUUGGUUACAGGAGACUGCCUGAACUUCAACUUCCAUUGAUCAACAAUUACAUGUAAAGUGGCCAACCAGUUGAGUUUGUACAAGAGCUUCAAGCAUACACAAAGGCAGUCUCCAACUUCACAAUACUAGCUUAGUGGAAAAGCAAAAAUAUACAGCGCAUUAGAUAGUGAUUUGAAGCUCUUCAGAAGCACCAGCGGCAGCAGGAGAAUGAGUGUGGUAAACGACCAGUUUUACGAAUGUAUUCUGCUUGCUUCUCUAUUUUUACAGCAUGUUUGUUUCUCCUGGCUUCUGCUGCUGCCAGUUUCUCUUCAGCUUUGUACCUAACCGCAGCUAUCUUGUUCAUUAGCUUGUCUUGUGCUCGUGCCUUCAUCUUUUCCACCUCCACCUCAGUUUUC